rnacentral:rRNA from 1 species
GACGAACCGUGCGAACGUUGUUCGGAUUCACUGGGCUUAAAGGGCGCGUAGGCGGGCUGCCAAGUCCGGGGUGAAAUCUUUCGGCCUAACCGGAAAAGUGCCUUGGAUACUGGCGGCCUGGAGGGAGGUAGGGGCACGCGGAACUUCCGGUGGAGCGGUGAAAUGCGUAGAUAUCGGAAGGAACGCCGGUGGCGAAAGCGGCGUGCUGGACCUCUUCUGACGCUGAGGCGCGAAAGCCAGGGGAGCAAACGGGG